rnacentral:RNase_P_RNA from 1 species
AGUUGACUUGGCAAUUGCGUGCCGAAUUAUCGGUAUGAGGAAAGUCCGAGCAGUACAGAGCAGAAUAACGGCUAACGGCCGCCGAGGGUGACCUUAGGGAAAGUGCAACAGAGAUAUACCGCCUGUUAUAUUUAGCAGGUAAGGGUGGAAAGGCGAGGUAAGAGCUCACCGAGGGGGUGGAAACAUUCCCUGCCAUGUAAACCCUAUUCACUGCAACAUCGACUGAAGGGUUGUUUGCUCGACACAUAACUUCGAAGGAUGGCUUGAUUGCAAGAGUAAUUUUGCAACUAGAUAGAUAAUUGCCCACGACAGAACUCGGCUUACUGUC